rnacentral:rRNA from 1 species
UACGUAGGGUGCAAGCGUUUGUCCGGAAUUAUUGGGCGUAAAGGGCUCGUAGGCGGUCCAUCGCGUCGGGAGUGAAAAGCUGGGGCUCAACCCCAGUCCUGCUUUCGAUACGGGCAGGCUAGAGUUCGGUAGGGGAGACUGGAAUUCCUGGUGUAGCGGUGAAAUGCGCAGAUAUCAGGAGGAACACCGGUGGCGAAGGCGGGUCUCUGGGCCGAUACUGACGCUGAGGAGCGAAAGCGUGGGGAGCGAACAGG